rnacentral:rRNA from 1 species
GACGAACGCUGGCGGCGUGCUUAACACAUGCAAGUCGAACGGAAAGGCCCCUUUGGUGGUCCUCGAGUGGCGAACGGGUGAGUAACACGUGAGUAACCUGCCCUUGACUUCGGGAUAACUUCAGGAAACUGGGGCUAAUACCGGAUAGGAAUCCUUGCUGCAUGGUGGGGGUUGGAAAGCUUCGGCGGGUUUGGAUGUACUCGCGGCGUAUCUGCUUGGUGGUGGGGUAGUGGCUUACCAAGGCUUUGACGGGUAGCCGGCCUGAGAGGGCGACCGGCGACAUUGGGACUGAGAGACGGCCCAGACUCCUACGGGAGGCAGCAGUGGGGAAUAUUGCACAAUGGGCGGAGGCCUGAUGCAGCAACGCCGCGUGCGGGAUGACGGCCUUCGGGUUGUAAACCGCUUUCAGCAGGGGCGAAGCUUGUGGUGACGGUACCUGCAGAAGAAGCACCGGCUAACUACGUG